GCACCGAUAGCUCAAUUGGUAGAGCAGCUGACUCUUAAUCAGUAGGUUCCUGGUUCAAGUCCAGGUCGGUGCA
rnacentral:tRNA from 1 species